rnacentral:misc_RNA from 1 species
UUUCCGUAGGUGAACCUGCGGAAGGAUCAUUAUUCAUGCGCGGGAGUUUCGGCUCCUGUGUUAUACCCUUGUUUGCAGGCACUCUUGUUAUCCCUCGGUGGGGACGCUCGCCGUUAGGAUAUUUUAAACACUUUUGAAUAUGCAGUCAGCGUCGUAAAAGAUUAAAUAAUCACAACUUUCAACAACGGAUCUCUUGGUUCUGGCAUCGAUGAAGAACGCAGC